rnacentral:hammerhead_ribozyme from 1 species
GUACCGUUGAGGAGUCCCACAAUAGGACGAAACGGCCGUCCGGUGC